UACGUAGGGUGCAAGCGUUAUCCGGAAUUAUUGGGCGUAAAGAGCUCGUAGGCGGUUUGUCGCGUCUGCUGUGAAAACUGGAGGCUCAACCUCCAGCUUGCAGUGGGUACGGGCAAACUAGAGUGCGGUAGGGGAGAUUGGAAUUCCUGGUGUAGCGGUGGAAUGCGCAGAUAUCAGGAGGAGCACCAAUGGCGAAGGCAGAUCUCUGGGCCGUAACUGACGCUGAGGAGCGAAAGCAUGGGGAGCGAACAGG
rnacentral:rRNA from 1 species